UGUUUACAUAAAGAAAA
rnacentral:sRNA from 1 species